GUGGGGAAUAUUGGACAAUGGGCGCAAGCCUGAUCCAGCCAUACCGCGUGGGUGAAGAAGGCCUUCGGGUUGUAAAGCCCUUUUGUUGGGAAAGAAAUCCUGUCGGUUAAUACCUGGCGGGGAUGACGGUACCCAAAGAAUAAGCACCGGCUAACUUCGUGCCAGCAGCCGCGGUAAUACGAAGGGUGCAAGCGUUACUCGGAAUUACUGGGCGUAAAGCGUGCGUAGGUGGUGGUUUAAGUCCGUUGUGAAAGCCCUGGGCUCAACCUGGGAAUUGCAGUGGAUACUGGAUCACUAGAGUGUGGUAGAGGGAUGCGGAAUUUCUGGUGUAGCAGUGAAAUGCGUAGAGAUCAGAAGGAACAUCCGUGGCGAAGGCGGCAUCCUGGGCCAACACUGACACUGAGGCACGAAAGCGUGGGGAGCAAACAGGAUUAGAAACCCCAGUAGUCC
rnacentral:rRNA from 1 species